UCUGAGGGAAGGUGAGUGUUGCCAGCCAGGUCAUGCCUUAUCCGAAGCGAAGUGAAGACGCUCAGGUGUUUCCCUGUGAAGUUCCGAAGUGAGACUGUUUGGGAUAGAGGAGCAGAGUGGCAGGGGGUUGCUUGCAAGCACAGUGGUCGUUUUGUCCUUUUGUGUUCCCAGGUGUUGUGGAUGAUGGUGGCCGCUCCUUUCAAGCUUGGACCUAAUUUGCAGGUCCAGAGGCAAGUGGAGUGCUGUUUUGAAAGGGUUGAAAUGCAGCGUGCAGUGCGCGGUGCAGGACGUCUCGACCCGAGCUGCCUCUGCAGUGACUCUGGUGCGUGAUGAGCAGAGAGGUGCUAUAAGUGGGUAAGGAGAAGAGAUGGAAGCAUGUGCCACGUGGGGCAGGCAAGCGGCUGAGGUACAGGAGGGGAUGAGAGUAUGUGAUUUUUUUCUGGGGAUGGAAUGGAAUUGAUUUUGUUGGUGUAUAAUCUGUUCUGCUCCUGGAUUUUUCUUUCUAAGUUUAAAAAUAAGAAUAAAAUUUGAGCUAAUUCCAGUUAAGAAAGUUCCAGUUACUUGCUGGGUCGUAUUGUCCUUUUAAUAUUCAAAGCUGCCGCAAAAGCAUGGGGAUUGUUGCUUUUAGAAACACCUCAGGUCUCGUCUGCACUCUGCAUUCUGUUGAGCUAAAGCAGAUCCCCCCCAAAAAAAACAAACAGGCAAACAAAAAAAAAACCAAACACACACACACAAAUGAACAACGAAAUAAAACACCAUUGGUUGACUUGUUGUGAAUGCAACGAACAUUUAAUCCCUUUGUUUUCCCAGGUGGUGUGGAUGAUACUGGCUGCACUAUUGGAGCUUGGUCUCGGAGAGGAACAGGCGAGCACAAUCCUGAUGCUGAGCCUUCAAUUGACUAAGAUGACAAUCAGUGCCUGUGCCUUUCCUGAGGCGGAGGGACUUUACCAUGCAGCAACCUUAGAGCUAAGUUGGGGGGCACCUGGUAUUUGCAUAUUUGGAGUGGCUAAUGGGAGCUGCGAGCCAGAGCAGCAUGGAGCCAGCUGGCUGAAUAGACUUGGUGCCACUGUGAGGGUGGUUCAGGCUGGGUCGUCACGUUCAGGCUGGUUGUGGCUGGGUCACCAGGCUAACAGAAGCAGCGGGAUUAUUUUGUAGCGUGCGUGCGCCAGGCAGGACAGUUUCCUUCUGUUCGUCUGUCUUGUAGUGUUGCUUCUGCAGUGUCUGUUCUGUGCUUCUCGG
rnacentral:lncRNA from 1 species